rnacentral:rRNA from 1 species
UACGUAGGUGGCAAGCGUUGUCCGGAGUUAUUGGGCGUAAAGCGCGCGUAGGCGGUGCGGUAAGUCUCUGGUGAAAGCGCUCGGCUUAACUGGGCGAGGGCCGGGGAGACUGCCACGCUGGAGGGGAGCAGAGGCGAGUGGAAUUCCGGGUGUAGUGGUGAAAUGCGUAGAGAUCCGGAGGAACACCAGUGGCGAAGGCGGCUCGCUGGGCUCUACCUGACGCUGAGGCGCGAAAGCGUGGGGAGCGAACCGG